AUUGAACGCUGGCGGCAUGCUUUACACAUGCAAGUCGAACGGCCUCUCGGGCGUCGGCCUCGCGGCGAGUGGCGAACGGUUGGGUAAUGCAUCUGAACUUGCCCUAUCUUGGGGGAUAUCCCGCCGAAAGCCGGAUUGAUCCCCCAUACGACCUGAGAUUGCAAGCGGGGGGCCCAGAGGCCUCGCGCUAUUUUAGCGGCCAAUGUCGUAUUAGCUAGUUGGGGGGGUAACGGCUUUACAAGGCGACGAUCCGUAGGUGGUCUGAGAGGACGACCAGACAGAUGGGGAGUGAGAAAGGGCAGAGACAUCUGGGGGAGGAAGCAGUGGGGAAUUUUGGACAAUGGGGGCAAGGGGGAUCUAGCCAUACCGCGGGAGGGAAGAAGGAGUCAGGGUUGGAAAACGAUGUUGGUCGGGAAGAAAUCAUAUGGGCUAAUAGGCGGGGGGGAUGACGGUACCGGAAGAAUAAGCACCGGCUAACUACGUG
rnacentral:rRNA from 1 species